rnacentral:rRNA from 1 species
UACGAAGGGGGCUAGCGUUGUUCGGAUUUACUGGGCGUAAAGCGCACGUAGGCGGACUCUUAAGUCGGUGGUGAAAUCCUGGAGCUCAACUCCAGAACUGCCUCCGAUACUGGGAGUCUUGAGUCCGGGAGAGGUGAGUGGAACUGCGAGUGUAGAGGUGAAAUUCGUAGAUAUUCGCAAGAACACCAGUGGCGAAGGCGGCUCACUGGCCCGGUACUGACGCUGAGGUGCGAAAGCGUGGGGAGCAAACAGG